ACCCCUCGCUGCAGACUGUAGCGCGGUGACAUCACGUACUGACGUCAGGUAUGUUCUACGUAUCGUAUGUCUUUAAUGCGCAUGUACAAAAUAUUUCACUUUAAUCCGUAGGUGGCGGUAAUGCGCCUAAAAGUUUAAUGCCAACCUUAAUACAGCGAAUAAGUUGUUUUUCUCGUCUGCAAUUCUGGAUUAGCGUUUUCUCGAAAGGGAUAAAUUCGAUUGCGAUGUAUGUUUAUGGAUACUGGAAGGCGUAACUUACAGAAAACAGUCACCAAGUACAGUCCAGCUAAGCCAGGAAACCGGACCAGAGAAUGAAUUGAUGCCAUCUGUUUGAACCACAGUGCUCAGGAGGAAGGCUUCCUUAAUUGAGGACUGCUUCAGGAUGUAGAAGGAACAGAUCCUCUUGAACCACAGGGCAUAAUACUUAAAAUGUUCACACCAUUGUAAAUAUACUUGAUUACUUGACCAAGAUGUCACCUGAGAUCCUGUGGCAGAUCAUGAUGGGAGUAGUCAAGGUUGAUGGCGAUGUGGCUGUCUUGAGGCUUGCACUCAAAUGCUAGAUGUUUAGGGACAUUGUCAGUGAGCCCAAAUUUAAAGAACAGGCUCACUUUUUGUGGCUUGACAGUCAUGAGAACUGGAUUGUGUUCUACAGACAACAGUUUUUGAUGCCCUACUGUCUGACUCAAUGCUUCCACUGUGGAGAAAUCUUCAAAGACUGUCCACCUGGCAAUGUUGGGGAAAAAAUAUUUACACAAGUUACAUAAUAAUAUACGAGCAUAUAUUUGACAUGACUUUAAUUCUCCUAUUCAUUAAAACUUGUAAGUAUACAAGUACUGUAUAGGUUUUGUCUUUAUUUCACUUGAUAGUACUUGAUGCUAGUAUUGCAUCCCUAAGUUGAUGUUUCGAAUUAAAGUGCAGUUCACCUCACAGAUCUUUCAUAUUAUGAUGCAUAUUAUGAGGCUCUUAGGUCAGAUGAUGAUGGGGGUCACACAUUGUUUGAUUUCUUUCUUAUUUUAAUAAUUAAAAUAGUCAGUGAUGCUUUUUGCAGUAUGGGAUGGUAUAUUAUCCUCCAUGAAAGUAAAUUUAUUUCAGAAGACAUAAUUCCUUCUAUCUCAUAGUAAAAAAAACUAUGUUUUAGGAACUCUACAUAUCUUCUAGAUGUCCAUUUGACCCUCCCCCCCAAUGUCUUGUUUGAACAUAGUGGCUAUUCACCAAUAAUCCAGAAUGACAUUCAUCUAUACUAUUUACUGUAUUUUUGCAUGUCAAUAAAUAAAAUUGUUUAAAAAUA